CUUUUACAAUGUGUUACCAGACUGCAAAAGGCCAAAUGCGAGACUAAGUCAGAGUCAAGGAAGAGAUCAAAGGCUGUUUCAUCCUCGAAAAGGAGCAGAGCUGCCAUCAUUUCCAAAACUAGAGCUAGAAGAUCUGCAUAUGGUGCUGUGCCUAACGAACCAAUUAUUGUCAACAAACCUGCGGAUCAUGACAAAUCUGGGUCAGAUAGUGGUUCAGAAGAUGAUGGGAAAAACACACCAGGGCAAGAUAGCGGUUCAGAAGAUGAUGGUAAAAACACUUCAGGGUCCGAUAGCGGUUCACAAGAUGAUGGUGAAAAUUCUACUGUCAAGUUUAAGAUCGACAAUCCAUUGACUGAUAUCAAGUCCAAGCAAGCAUUGCCAGAGACUGUAAAUCCGUCUGACAAUGGAAGUCCCAAAGCUGGUACCGGGUAUUGUAGCUUCAACUCUGAGCAGACAACUUCAGUCGGUGUGACACCAUCCAAAGAUGAAAGUUCCGAAGGGGAUGAUGAAUCUCACGGCUCGGAUGAUCUAAUAGGGAACAACAAGGGGAAGUGAGCUCUUCCUUUUCACCUGAAACUGAGUAGGAACUGGUAAACCUCGUGUACAGACACAGCGGACGGAGAGGCACAGGGAAACGUUGUGAGUUUGGUUUCGUUUAGAACUAGUGUUAGUUUUAGCGCCUCUGUUUUAGGCAACUGAAGCAUAUAUUUCGCGACCCUAGUGGAGUACAUGCAAGCAAUCCUUCGGCUUAGACAGGAACAAUGGUUUUGAUAGGGCUUGUAUUGUAAUGGAUCCCUCAGCCCAUGAAGUGUUUAGACCUCAAUUUGAUUGCAAUCUUAAGGGUGUUUAUGAAACAACCUCCGCCACAUUAUUUUAAAGACCCUGGAUGUUAUAACGUAUGCAUUUAUGAAAAGGAGGAUGUUUUGGCC